GUGAUUGGUCUCCAAGUGGGAGCUGACAGUUUCUGAAUAGCUCCUGACACAAAGGACUAGGAACUUGGGCCUUUUUUGCAUUUCAAAGCCCUGCCUGCAGGCGAUCAGGUUACAGGAGGUGAAGAGGCAGUGUUGGUGUCUUUACCGACAUUUUCUCCUACUUGUGCUGUGUUUUCUCCACAAAGAUCUUCUGAGAAAGAAAUCUUGAAGAGGAGGUGAAAGAAAAAAUGGCCAGUUCUCAGGGACUGCUGACCUUCAGGGAUGUGGCUGUAGUAUUCUCUCUGGAGGAGUAGGGAUGCCUGAACCAGAGUCAGUGAGAACUGUACAGGGAUGUGAUGUUAGAGACCUAUGGACACCUCCUCUUCUUGGCAUCUAGGUCUUGUGACAAAGCUGGACCUGGUCCUCUUUUUAGAACUUAAAAAGGAGUUCUGGGAAUGGAAGAGAAAGGAGACAGUAGCUACACACCCAGGUAGGUGGGAAUGAACGAAGCAGAUGACAAAGGUGAGGUCCAAAUGUGAAGGAUGAAGACUGACCUUAAAACGUGGUUUGAGGAGCCCUCCUUGAAUUGAAAUUAGUUUUAAAAGGCCGAUUUCAUGUCUCUUCCUCUCACAGUGGACUUUUGCUUUCCAACACAUCAUGCUCUUACGUUCUCUAAGGAUUGUCCUUCAGUUCCACUGUAGGUCCUUCACGUCCACAGUGAGGGCCUCCGUAAUCUGAUUGAUUGGUUGUCCAAUGCUUUGAGGGUGGGGGAAAUCUCUGUAUUUCUCAGGAAGUCUAUGUUAAUACAUUUCUGAGUAUUUGCCUUGUGUGAGAAGUGUGUCAGGGUACUGAUGGACAUAUUGGGGGUUGGUGCAGAAAUCCCGGAAACAAUGGGGACAGAUAUCACAUGUUAUCUGUUUUCUGAUAUUAUGGAUGCUUUAAUCUUAAUCGUACUAAAUUGACACCCACUCAUUUCAUCAGAUAAUAAAGCACCUCCCUAAAAUGAGAAAAUCUAACCCUUUAUUUUACUUCAAAAGUUCAGUUUUGAGGGCGCAUGGUUGGAUCAAUUGGUUAAGCAUCUGACUUCAGCUGAAGUCAUGAUCUCACAGACAGUGAGUUUGGGGCCAGCGUAGGCCUCUGUGAUGACAGCACAGAGCAAGCUUGGAAUUCGG